rnacentral:rRNA from 1 species
GACGAACGCUGGCGGCGUGCUUAACACAUGCAAGUCGAACGGAAAGGCCCUGCUUUUGUGGGGUGCUCGAGUGGCGAACGGGUGAGUAACACGUGAGUAACCUGCCCUUGACUUUGGGAUAACUUCAGGAAACUGGGGCUAAUACCUGCUAGGAGCUCCUGCUGCAUGGUGGGGGUUGGAAAGUUUCGGCGGUUGGGGAUGGACUCGCGGCUUAUCAGCUUGUUGGUGGGGUAGUGGCUUACCCAGGCUUUGACGGGUAGCCGGCCUGAGAGGGUGACCGGCCACAUUGGGACUGAGAUACGGCCCAGACUCCUACGGGAGGCAGCAGUGGGGAAUAUUGCACAAUGGGCGGAAGCCUGAUGCAGCAACGCCGCGUGCGGGAUGACGGCCUUCGGGUUGUAAACCGCUUUCGCCUGUGACGAAGCGUGAGUGACGGUAAUGGGUAAAGAAGCACCGGCUAACUACGUG